rnacentral:tRNA from 1 species
GCUGUCGUAACUCAGUGGGUAAGAGUGUCGGCCUUAUAAGCCGUUUGCCGCUGGUUCGAAUCCAGCCGACAGCA